rnacentral:ncRNA from 1 species
CGGGAAAGGCAGACUCCCCGUCAGACGGCUUACGUCCAAGCUCUGC